GAUCUAGUAGCUUAUCAAAAGCAUUAGUUUUGUAAGCUAAAGAUGAGGGUCAAACUCCCUCUUAGAUCU
rnacentral:tRNA from 1 species